CCGCUCACUUGCAGUGUCAUGGUCCUCAUUUGGGAUGGUACUAUGACACUCAAGUGCGCGAGG
rnacentral:pre_miRNA from 1 species